GUUUCUUAGAAAAUGGCAGGUAGCUAUCCAUCAUGUCACAGCAGAAUGGGUAAUGUGUUCUUUAAAUCCAACUGUUGACUCGGGUUUAAGGAAGCGUGAAACCUGAAUUCAUUGAAAUAAGACCAAAUUAUUGAAAUGAAUGUUUCCUCUCUGUACAUAUGAGAAAGAAUAGUUAAGACAGUAUGUUUCAAAUACAUUGUAUAAUCUAUACUCAAUGCAGAUGUGGAAAGGGUACUGUCAGAGCCUCCCAGAGGCACACUGCCCUCAGUGAGGCUUUACUGGAUUCUAUCUGCCCACUUGCUGGGCUGUGCCUGGAGGGAUAGAGAUGAAUUGGUGCUGAUUUGCUUAUGCCAUGAGCACAGAUUACCCCAUUUAAAAAACAAACUAACACAGAUUUUCUUUAAUUCUUUUUUAGGUAUAAGAUAACCUUUAAGAUAAAAUAUGUCAUCCCUCUGACAUCCCUCUGGAUUGGGGACUGUGUGGACACAGACUUUGUAGGCCCCAGUCAGGCCAGGAAAUCCAUUUUCCUAGGCUGGCCCAUGGAGAACUUCAUCGCCACUUUCCGGUCUGUGGACCAAAAAAGAGAUUGGUGGUGUUUCCUUGAAAGAUCUAUUAAACAGACAAAGGAGAAGUACCAUGGGAGGAGUACUGCACUGGAGAUAUUCACAGAUGACAUCCCGAGCUCGAACAC